UAAUACAGAGGGUGCGAGCGUUGUUCGGAAUUACUGGGCGUAAAGCGCGCGCAGGCGGUCCUUUAAGUCUACCCGUGAAAUGCCGGAGCUCAACUCCGUGCACGCCGGGGGAUACUGGGGGACUGGAGACAUGUAGAGGCAAGCGGAAUUCCGGGUGUAGCGGUGGAAUGCGUAGAUAUCCGGAAGAACACCUGAGGCGAAGGCGGCUUGCUGGGCAUGAUCUGACGCUGAGGCGCGAAAGCGUGGGGAGCAAACAGGAUUAGAUACCCUGGUAGUCCACGCCGUAAACGAUGGGCACUAGACGCGGGUGGGAUCGACCCCUUCCGUGUCGCAGCUAACGCGAUAAGUGCCCCGCCUGGGGAGUACGGCCGCAAGGCUG
rnacentral:rRNA from 1 species